rnacentral:rRNA from 1 species
UACGUAGGUGGCAAGCGUUGUCCGGAAUUAUUGGGCGUAAAGAGCUCGUAGGCGGUUUGUUGCGUCGGCUGUGAAAUCCCGAGGCUCAACCUCGGGUCUGCAGUCGAUACGAGCAAACUAGAGUGUUGCAGGGGAGACUGGAAUUCCCGUGGUGUAGCGGUGAAAUGCGCAGAUAUCAGGAGGAACACCGGUGGCGAAGGCGGGUCUCUGGGCCACUACUGACGCUGAGAAGCGAAAGCAUGGGGAGCGAACAGG